rnacentral:rRNA from 1 species
AGUGAACGCUGGCGGUAGGCUUAACACAUGCAAGUCGAACGGCAGCACAGUAAGAGCUUGCUCUUACGGGUGGCGAGUGGCGGACGGGUGAGGUAUACAUCGGAAUCUACUUUUUCGUGGGGGAUAACGUAGGGAAACUUACGCUAAUACCGCAUACGACCUACGGGUGAAAGCAGGGGCUCUUCGGACCUUGCGCGAUUGAAUGAGCCGAUGUCGGAUUAGCUAGUUGGCGGGGUAAAGGCCCACCAAGGCGACGAUCCGUAGCUGGUCUGAGCGGGUGAACAGCCACACUGAGACUGAGACACGGUCCAGACUCCUACGGGAGGCAGCAGUGGGGAAUAUUGGACAAUGGGCGCAAGCCUGAUCCAGCCAUACCGCGUGGGUGAAGAAGGCCUUCGGGUGGUAAAGCCCUUUUGUUGGGAAAGAAAAGCAGCAGGUUAAUACCCCGCUGUUCUGACGGUACCCAAAGAAUAAGCACCGGCUAACUUCGUG